rnacentral:lncRNA from 10 species
GAUGUCAUCACGAGGCGACGCCGCCGCUAGCCACGCGCGCCCCGCGGCCCUCGGAGCUUUUGCAGGAGGCUUUGGUGGGGCCGAGCGGCUGCGGUGAGGACGAGGGAGGGGCUGUGGCGGCCGUACCGCCCGAGCUCUUUCUGCGUUUAGGAUUUUUAGAGGCGCGGCCCAUGGCGGCGUGGCAGUCCUAGAGCUGCGGAAAUGCGAGCAUGCGCAAUGCGUGCCUGCCAGAGCGAGGAGAGGGUGGAACCUCCGCAUGGAGCAUGCGCCGUGCAUAGCGGUGGAGGAGCGGAGUUCGGGAGGCCGGUCGGAGACAGGGUCUCCUUCUGUUGCCCAGCUUGGAGCGCACCUGUGUGAUCUCGGCUCACUGCAGACUCCGCCUCCUGGGUUCAAGAGAUCCUCCUGCCUCAGCGUGCAUGCACCACCAAGCCUGGCUCAUAUUUUUUAGACAUUUUAAUUUUAUUCAGGGUCACAAAGUUACCUU